rnacentral:rRNA from 1 species
UCACUACGGAAUAGCUCCGGGAAACUGGAAUUAAUACCGUAUACGCCCUCCGGGGGAAAGAUUUAUCGGCGAAAGAUCGGUCCGCGUUAGAUUAGAUAGUUGGUGGGGUAAUGGCCUACCAAGUCUGCGAUCUAUAGCUGGUCUGAGAGGAUGAUCAGCCACACUGGGACUGAGACACGGCCCAGACUCCUACGGGAGGCAGCAGUGGGGAAUCUUGCACAAUGGGCGAAAGCCUGAUGCAGCCAUGCCGCGUGAAUGAUGAAGGCCUUAGGGUUGUAAAAUUCUUUCGCUAGGGACGAUAAUGACGGUACCUAGUAAAGAAGCCCCGGCUAACUUCGUGCCAGCAGCCGCGGUAAUACGAAGGGGGCUAGCGUUGUUCGGAAUUACUGGGCGUAAAGCGCGCGUAGGCGGACUAUCAAGUUGGAUGUGAAAUCCCAGGGUUCAACUCUGGAACUGCAUUCAAAACUGGUAGUCUAGAGGCCAGGAGAGGUCAGUGGAAUACCGAGUGUAGAGGUGAAAUUCGUAGAUAUUCGGUGGAACACCAGUGGCG